rnacentral:sRNA from 1 species
AUGACAGGUAAAAAUUGAAGUAUUUUCUUUCUCCACAGAAUACGUACAGCCCUAGCAAUGGCUGUGCAUUCUGCAUUCUCCAUUCUGCCCCACCAAUAUCCCUCAAUCUUGAGCUGGAGGGACCACCUUUAGGUGAGAGAAUAAGGCACCAAUCUGUGCCUGUGGAAUCUAGUGCUAGA